rnacentral:lncRNA from 10 species
CUCCCUAUCUCUCUGGGUCCUGCACAAUAGAGCACACUAUGCCUGUCUCAUGUCUUUGUCAUUGCUGCCCAAGGGCCAGAACACUGAGCUCUCCACCAGUGUCUGUCAUGGAAACACAGUCCAUGCCCUGGAGUGAGCCGGGGUAGACAUGUCUACCAGAAUAGCCCCUCCUUUCCCCACUCACUAUCCAGGCUAUUCAUUCCUGCUCAGCUUUAAGCCCAAGCCUCUUUUCUGUCUUUUUUGUCUUUCUUUUUUAAUGAUGCUUCUCCCAAAUUCUUAUUCUGGAAGUUGGCAAUUAAAAAAAUAAAAAGAAAUGGCUGGGUGCAGUGGCUCAUGCCUGUAAUCCCAGCACUUUGGGAGGCUGAAGUGGGUGGAUCACUUGAGGUCAGGAGUUUGAGACCAGCCUGGCCAACAUGGUGAAACCCCAUCACUAUUAAAAAUACACAAAUUAGCCAGGCAUUGUGGCGUAUGGCUGUAAUCCCAGCUACUUGGGAGGCUGAGGCAGGAGAAUCACUAGAACCCAGGAGGCAGAGGCUGCAGUUAGCCGAGAUCACGCCACUGCACUCCAGCCUGGGCAACAAAGUCAGACUCCGUAUCAAGAAAAAGAAAAAAAAA